CCCUCCCAGGCUCUGUCUGCACAGGGGCCUGCCAGUGGUGGGCUCAGCCAGAGACCCUCAUCCUGAGUGGGAUGACCUGAGUCUCACGGCUGCUUUUCUCUCUUGCUCCUGAUACACCAGGAAACUGAAACUGAAACUCAGGGCCCUAGUCCAGGGCCCUCCUCUCUAUUGAGUCACAAUUUCUCCUUCUGAGGCAACCUCCCACCCCAGGGGACGACCUCUCCCUUCUCUCCUCACUGCAGCCCGUCCUCCUUCCAGGGCUGUUCUGCUCACACCCUGAGCUCUGGGAGGCCCCAGGCAGAGCAGGGGUGGGGGGGGUGGUCUUGCUCGAGGUCACGUCUGCCUUCCAGAGCAGCCAGAUCAGGUCACAUCUGCCUUCCAGGCACAGCAGCCAGGUCAGGACGGAAGGGUUUCUACCCCUCAGUUCCCAUACUAUGAGAUGAUGGGAUGAGGCCAUGGGCUGUGUGCAUAUUACACAAGCAAUCUGGGUUCCUCAUCAUAAACCAGUCGUGGGGCAGAGGUUCCCAGGCUCGGGGGUGCAAGGCCUCCCCUAGCUCUUUGCAAGCUCGGAGCCUCUGUGCCACACCUGCCCUCAAUGCACCCACACCCAAGACCAUGAAGGUCACCGGCCCCUGCUGCUGCUGGCGCAGCUGUGGGUGAAGCCCUUCAGGGCCUUGAGUGCUUCCAGUGCUACGGUGUCUUGGACCUCAGCCUGUGCCACCCGUCUCCUACCCCAUGCAGGCUCAAAGCUGCCCCUCCUCUGUGGUCACUGGCACUACCAAUGGGCAGAAAUUCAGCUACACUAGCAAGGUCUGUGCCCCGACCCUGUGCCCAGAUUAUGAACCUCACCCAUCCUGUGGUCCCUGGAGGGUCUUACCCCAUAGAAACUGAGGAUGGACUGAUGGACUUGAAGACUGAGAAGCUGGACAUGACCUGCUGUGAAAAGAGCCUCUGUAACAAGGCGGCCACAGUGCAGCGUGGCCUUUGGGCCUGGGCCUUUUCCUUUGGGCCCUGCUGUGAGCCUAGCCCAGCCUGGCACUGCCCCGGUGGGUAAAUAGGAGCGCAGGGUGGUUGCCCAGUGCAGCCCUCAGCUCCUGCCCUGAUGCCCUCGCCUGGCCGCCCAGCAGCCCAGAGACCCCCCUCACCCAGCAGCCUAGAUGCCCGCUGGCCCAGAUAGUAAAUGCACGUGUUCAACCCAA